GAUGAACGCUGGCGGCGUGCCCAAUACAUGCAAGUCGAGCGAACAGACGAGGAGCUUGCUCCUCUGACGUUAGCGGCGGACGGGUGAGUAACACGUGGAUAACCUACCUAUAAGACUGGGAUAACUUCGGGAAACCGGAGCUAAUACCGGAUAAUAUAUUGAACCGCAUGGUUCAAUAGUGAAAGACGGUUUUGCUGUCACUUAUAGAUGGAUCCGCGCCGCAUUAGCUAGUUGGUAAGGUAACGGCUUACCAAGGCAACGAUGCGUAGCCGACCUGAGAGGGUGAUCGGCCACACUGGAACUGAGACACGGUCCAGACUCCUACGGGAGGCAGCAGUAGGGAAUCUUCCGCAAAGGGCGAAAGCCUGACGGAGCAACGCCGCGUGAGUGAUGAAGGUCUUCGGAUCGUAAAACUCUGUUAUUAGGGAAGAACAAAUGUGUAAGUAACUAUGCACGUCUUGACGGUACCUAAUCAGAAGGCCACGGCUAACUACGUG
rnacentral:rRNA from 1 species